CGGAAGAGCCGCAGCGACCCGUGUUUGGCUCAGUAACGGCGGAGAUUCGGUGUCGGCGGCGGCUCGUCGUGUGGCGGUGACAGAGGAGACACACUCGGCUUUAGUUGGACGGUCGGACCGCGUAGAUGGACGUGGCGGCGGAGGAUGGCGGCUAGCUAACCGGCUAACCGGCUGGGCAGUUAGCAGACGGACGCCACGUGUUCGGAGCACGGGGGACGGAGGGACACCCGGCGGCCAGAUCCAGACGGAGUCGUCGACCUCCAGGAAAGGACGUCGCUGAGCGAAAUGACUUCACCUCAAUGGCUGUUCCUUUGUCAUCCAAGGCAAGCAUGAAGACUCCAGGAAACCUGAAAUGAAAAAAAAAAAAGUUUACUUUUAUUAUGGAUUGGGUUUGAUAAGAGGGUGAAAUGUUUACUAUCUGUGAUAUUGACAAUCAUCUCCA
rnacentral:lncRNA from 1 species